rnacentral:tRNA from 6 species
GCCUGCAUAGCUCCAACGGUAGAGCAAUUCCAUGGUAAGGAAGAGGUUACUGGUUCAAAUCCAGUUGUGGGCACCA